rnacentral:rRNA from 2 species
CGACUCUCGACAACGGAUAUCUAGGCUCUCGCAUCGAUGAAGAACGUAGCAAAAUGCGAUACUUGGUGUGAAUUGCAGAAUCCCGUGAAUCAUCGAGUUUUUGAACGCAAGUUGCGCCCGAAGCCAUUAGGUCGAGGGCACGUCUGCCUGGGCGUCAC